GACGAACGCUGGCGGCGUGCUUAGCACAUGCAAGUCGAACGGAAAGGCCCUGCUUGCAGGGUACUCGAGUGGCGAACGGGUGAGUAACACGUGGGUGAUCUGCCCUGCACUUCGGGAUAAGCUUGGGAAACUGGGUCUAAUACCGGAUAGGGGCCAUCUUUAGUGUGGUGGUUGGAAAGUUUUUUCGGUGUAGGAUGAGCUCGCGGCCUAUCAGCUUGUUGGUGGGGUAAUGGCCUACCAAGGCGGCGACGGGUAGCCGGCCUGAGAGGGUGUACGGCCACAUUGGGACUGAGAUACGGCCCAGACUCCUACGGGAGGCAGCAGUGGGGAAUAUUGCACAAUGGGCGCAAGCCUGAUGCAGCGACGCCGCGUGGGGGAUGAAGGCCUUCGGGUUGUAAACUCCUUUCGCUAGGGACGAAGCUUUUUUGUGACGGUACCUAGAUAAGAAGCACCGGCUAACUACGUG
rnacentral:rRNA from 1 species